GUAGAGUUUUGCGAGUUUCGCUUGCUUAGAUACAAUGAUCAAGAGCGCCUUCUUGUAUGUUAUUUCAACUACAAGGAUCGACUUAUUAGUGGGAGACGAAGCAGAAGAUAUAUACCCUCGAGCGAUUAGAGAAUCUUAUUUGGGGCCAGUUCACAGAAAUUUUUAUGAAGAAUAUGUUUUCAUAAGUCGUCGUCAGCAAAAAGGAGACGUAAUUUAACAAUUUAAAGCAAGGAAAGAAGACCAUGGUUGAAUAUGAUUGAGAAUUAUGUGACAUAUCUCGAUAUGCGCCUUAGAAGGUUGACACAUAUAGUAGUUGUAACUUCUCAUAGAGUUUUGAUGUAGUGCCCUUGCUUGUUGGCUAGCCAAACAUUCCUUCAACUAAUGAAGAUAUAUCUCAUUUCCAUUUCUUCCCACCAAACUUUUGUUUGAGAUCUUGAUAUAAUUUAGUGCUUCUUUGGUGGGCACUAUAUAGCGUAUCAUGAGCUUUACUCUCAACCGUUCAGUAUUGGGUACACAACUUUUCUCAAACAUGAUAGCAGUACCCCUAGCUUUUGGGCAAGUAUUGAUCUCUUCUAUCAUAAUCCUUACCCGUAAUUUUUCUAACUUUUCAUAUUUCCUUUGUAUUGUAACAAUUCUGAUUCUCAAAUCAGGAGUUACUGUUGAAAUUGCAAUUACAGCUUCUAUGGUUUGUGGUGGUAAAACCACAUCUAAAUUCAACCUUUCGAAUUCCUUGAUCAAUUUUCUUCAUGGGUAAGGAGAAAUCCUUAGUUAACUUGAGUUUUUCUACUCAAGGCAUCCACUACUAUAUUCGCUUUGCGUGGGUGACAAAUUAUUCUACAAUCAUAGUCCCUUAUUAAUUCGAGCUAUAUUCUUUGCCUUAUACUUAGAUCUUAAUGCUCGAAUAAGUAUUUUAAACUUUUAUGAGGUGUAUCAAUUCCACAUCUCGUUUCAUAAUACUAUUGUUGCUAGCUCCAAGUUAUGUUGAGCAAUUCAGUUCUUGCGGUCUAAAUUUUCAUGACCCAUUAACAAUAACUCUUUCACUUUGCAACAAUGCAUAACCAAGUCCAUCUUUGAUGCAGAGGACCGAUUUUAUAUGGUCUUUCAACUUUGAGAAUUCGGCCAUAUUUUAAAAUAGCCUUUCAUCCAACAAUAGAUGAGCAAUUUGAGAGAAAUCUUUAAACCUUGGAAGAUGUGAUAUAGAUUAUUGUACUAGAGCGAAGAAGCGGCGGCUUUAGCAGAAGGGACGCUGGCAAUCGUGGGUGAAUCCGGGUUCCAAAACUCUCUUUUCAAAAAUGAUUUGUCUUUUCCCUAGCACGGUAGGAGUGAAUUCCCCGCCUACAGAGGGCAGGAGACGACCAUCUCAAGGUGCAUCAUGCGUACUCAGAAGCCGCAUUAUGCACUAGAUCGAAGGAUGAAUUGGGAAAAAGCUUUUGCUAUUCAUUGAAUUUGCCUACAAUAAUAAUUUUUGGGCAACAAUUGAUAUGACACCAUGUGGAGCUUAUUGUGGAAAGAAAUAUUGAUCUCCACUCUAUUGACAUGAGGUAAGUGAAAGAAAAGUGACAGGACCUGAUGCGGUUGAAUAAAUGAUUACGCUUAUCCGACAAAAUCGACAACUGCUCAAGGAACCUCAAGAGCAACAUAAACUUUUUGUAGAGGAUGAAGUUUUUCUCAAUGUUCCGCAUUCCAAGAGUGCACAAGAUCGAUGUGAAAAACAAGUAUCUAGAAUUAUUUUCUAACGUAGUCAAAUUUCGAGGACGAAAUUUCUUUAAGGGGGAAAGGAUGUAACACCCGGCUUUUUCACUACAGUAUAUAUUAUUAAUAUUAUUUCCUAUUUUCUAUUAUCUAAAAGAAGAAAGAGAAGUAGAAUCACAGAGAUGAGAUGAGAUAUUAUUAAAAUAUCGUGAGCUUUUAAUUUGCAUCCUUUAUUAAUUUUAUUCUUUGAAGCAAGUUUAUAAUUCCUAGUUAAAGGGAUUAUUUUAUUAUUUUCAGAGAUGAGAUUGGUGAUAAAUAAGAAAUAUUAUUAGUCGACUUAUCGCUCGACUAAUCGAAGUGACGGAUGUUAUUUAAUUAUUUAUCUAUGAGCUUUUUAUUUUAAUAGUGAUGAUUUAAUAUUAAGUCAUGAAUUUGAGAUCAUAUUUGAGAUAGCAAGAAUUUUAUUUUAGCAAAUUCAUUUCCUAAUUUUAGGAAUGAAUUUAUUUGGGAUUUUAUCUCACAAGAAAUUUGAGUUAAAGUAACCUUUGAAGUUUUAUUUAUUUAUUUUAAAAUUUUCUAUUUCACUUGUGUCUAUGGAUUUUGGUUUGAUAUAUGCACAAGGAGUAAUAUGGAGUGGAUUUUAUAACAUUUUCCUUAAAACUUUAUUAAUAAAAUAGCAUGUAUAUCUAGUUUUUGGAUUAGAACAAGAAAAAGCUUAUGGGAGAAGUCAUUACUUUCUUUAUCCUUAUCUUCCCUACGACUUUCCCUUUCAUGCGUAUAAUCUCCAUUCUUCUUUUACUUCAAGAAAACAUGAAAACCUACUUUUCAUUUUAGUUCCUUGCUCAGACGCUAUUUUCUCCCACUUGUUCUUUCAUUUCUUUUGUUGUUUCCUCACCAAGCUUUCGGAACAAUUGAAUCCUCUUAUAAUCAUCCAAGAGUACAGGUUCGAGUGGCUUUAUAAAGUAAACAAGCAAGGAUCUCUACUUCAUUAAGCAUACCAGGUGGGCAUUACUUUUACUAUACGUAUAUAGAGAUCCCCUGCGUGUCGUAGGCCUCUUAUACGAAUGAAUGCAUGAGAUGAUUUAACUGUUAAUUUCAGUUUUAUAUAUAUCUAUCAAAUGAGUUUAAUGUUACAUUUGAGCAAGUUAUUUCGUUACAAAAUAUUUGAGUUAAAGUUAUUUCAAGUAUUGUCUUGCCAUAAAAUGUUUAAAUUUUAGUAUGAUAUCUAUCUGCUUUGGCUUUGCCAAUGAUGCAAUCGAAUUCGGGUCCUGAGCAGUUGAUAGCUAUCCUGCCAGGGCUAGUGUACACCAAUGACCGUGAGUCAUCUAGCGGGUUGGCCGGUCAAGUGACCGUGAGAGGUGGCCACCUCUCCGGCACACAGUUCCAGAUAUGAUAGAUUACAAGAGAACUUAGUCUGCAGACCAACUUUAAGAAUCACAAAUGGAUUUAGUAAGCUUGGGCCUUUUAGCGAAAAACUCCCUUGCUGUACUGUUUAUGAUGGCAUGACAAUUUACAGUUUUGAAGCAUGUAUUUUUAUACUUAGGCAUACGUGCCCACUGAGUACUUUUGUACUCAGCCCUGCAUAUAUUUCUAAAUGUGCAGGUUGAGCAAUGGCUGAUGAAGAUGAAGUGAUGAGCGGAGCUUUUGUCAUAAGUUUAAUAAAUGGACUCUUGGAUACAUGUCUUCAUACAUGUAAUCAGAUUAUGUUAUUCCGCUGCAUACUCUCAAGUAAUAUGUCUUUAAGCUAAGUCGGGUUCAUCCGAACUUACGAGUUAAUCGAGUCCUUGCGACUAAACAACAGUUAUCUUAUGAUUGUCCCUCCUUAACAAUGAUU